AUGAAACUGCAGCAGUGGUGUCAUAAAUGGUUUCCUUAUGAGUCAUGGUUGACACAUUUAUCUGUAAAUGGUAGGGGUGGACAUCAGUCGGUUUCGGUUGGGUUCGGAUCAAAAAACCUCAAUCCGAUCAAACCAACGGAUGAAAAUAUUUCAUCCAAUUUCGUCCAUCUGACACUUUGGUUAAGGCGGUUUCGGUUUAAACGAAUUGUCGGAUUUGCGGUUUUGCAAGUCUAA